rnacentral:rRNA from 1 species
AGCUUAUUGGAAUCCAAUAAUAAGUAUUUUCUGCCCAGUGAAGUGUUAAACGGCCGCGGUACCCUGACCGUGCAAAGGUAGCAUAAUCAUUUGCCUUUUAAUUGGAGGCUUGUAUGAAUGAAUAAACACUAAUCUUCCUUUCCCAUACGUAACAAUAAAAAUUAUUCUUCAGGUGAAGAAACCUGAAUUCUAUAAAAAGACAAGAAGACCCUAUCAAGCUUUAUAUUUUAAUAAACCACUUUUAUAAAAUAUUUGGUUGGGGCGACUAAUGGGGUUAAUAUUCCCCCAUAACCAUAAUGACCUAUACUUCUCUACAACUUAAUUAUCUAAAACAAUAAAGCUACUGUAGGGAUAACAGGCUAAUACUUUCUAAGAGUUCAAAUUAAAGAAAGUGAUUGGCACCUCGAUGUUGGCUUAGGGCCCCUUCCCCCUGCAGAAGGGGGGGUAGGUAGUUUGUUCAACUAUUAAAUUCCU